CUUGCGGAGGUCGGCGCGGGUGAUGGCCUGCUUCUGCACCACCGGCCCGGCGCCCUGCUCCUCCAGCUUGCGGAUGACAGCGGCCAGGGAGGUGAACUAUGUUGACAGACUUGCAGAUGAAUAUGCAGCCCAGUAUACGAAUACAUCUCCCAUCUGUGUGGCAAUGAAACAGCUACAUAUAACUCAACAAAGGAGACAUUGAUUUAGUAAAGUGAGGAUGUAUCCAUCAGCACUAAGUUGCAGCUGUUCUUAAUGGAUUUUAAAACACAAAAGCUAUUUCACCUCUUAGAUUGUCAUAUUAUGAAAUGUUAGUAAUACUUGCACAUAUCAAAGCACCAGCUACCACCCAAACCUUGUGAAACGUGAAGGAAGCAUCAAGCCAGCCCCCUUGUGAAGCUCCCUGGUGCCAACCAAAAGCCUAUUUUCCCAGUAUGCUUCUAUUUUAUUUCUUUUUUCCCCACUGAUAUAUUUUGCUGUUACUCACUGCUUGCUUUAUUUUUUCUGCUUUUUUUCUUUUUUUUUUUUCUAAAGCAAUAUUUUUGUUGCUGAGGCCAUGAUUUGUUUCCUGAUUGCUUUGUUUUCAAAAUAAACCAGAGAAAACGCGA